AUUGAACGCUGGCGGCAUGCCUUACACAUGCAAGUCGAACGGCAGCACGGGUGCUUGCACCUGGUGGCGAGUGGCGAACGGGUGAGUAAUACAUCGGAACAUGUCCUGAAGUGGGGGAUAGCCCGGCGAAAGCCGGAUUAAUACCGCAAACGAUCUACGGAUGAAAGCGGGGGACCUUCGGGCCUCGCGCUAUAGGGUUGGCCGAUGGCUGAUUAGCUAGUUGGUGGGGUAAAGGCCUACCAAGGCGACGAUCAGUAGCUGGUCUGAGAGGACGACCAGCCACACUGGGACUGAGACACGGCCCAGACUCCUACGGGAGGCAGCAGUGGGGAAUAUUGGACAAUGGGCGAAAGCCUGAUCCAGCAAUGCCGCGUGUGUGAAGAAGGCCUUCGGGUUGUAAAGCACUUUUGUCCGGAAAGAAAUCCUUGGCCCUAAUACGGUCGGGUUAUGACGGUACCGGAAGAAUAAGCACCGGCUAACUACGUG
rnacentral:rRNA from 1 species